ACAGCAGCGGAGCGAAAUAAUCGGAUGAUCCGAUCUCGAACCAGAUAAACGGGUGGUCCCAGCCAACUGAGCGGUGCAGAAAUCGCUGGUUAACAUUAAUUUUGGACGCAGGAGGUUCUUUGUUCGGAAAGAUCGCUGGUCUUCGUGAUUUUCGGUAAAUCAAAACAUUGCGGUGCUUAUGGAGCACGAGAGGAUGCUGUAUGGUGCAUCACCGGAUCCACAAACGGUGCAGGUGCAGGACAGUGCAGUCUGCAACAGAACAGAAAAAAGGCCAGUCAAGAAUAAAAACCAAGGUUCGCAAGUCGUAUUCGUCGAGACGCAGAAUUACGUUCCCCCGAAGGACGUGGUGGUAAUCCGGAGUAUGCGAAAUGCGUGCAAGAUCCCCAACGCACAGAAGCAAUCAUUGCCAGCGUUUUUCUGGCUCUGCCGCGACGGGUAGACCAUAGUGAAGUAUAGUAGAGAAGCUGUGAUGAAAGUGGUCCGAUAAGGAUGCGGAAGCCAAUUCCAAUAGGAAGAGAUGGCGGCGAAGUAGAAGAUGCGGUUAGUGUAGUGUUUAAAGUACAAGCUUAAAUGCAAAAACAAUGCGGCACCCCAGUUAACCUCGUCGGCAUGCAGCAAACCAGUAAUCCAAAACCGUGUCCAAAAUCUGCCCUAACACAUGAAUGCAGCGGAAGCGGUCCAACAGCGAGUGCAAAUUCAGCAUAGGAAAUAUCUGGCCAGGGAAACGGUCACUAUAUCGAUAAGAAAAAGUAAAGAAGGGUUGCUGCUGUCUAUACUAUACAUAGCAAACAUCAUUAUGGACUUCGCAUCUUGGUCACCUGGACGCAUAGGAAAAGCAGCGCGAAGUAAAAGAAAAAUGUCGCUAAUCCAGUUUUGAACCGAAAACAUAAUAUAAAAUAAACAGUAACGGUGGGUGGGGUCGGGGAGUGUAAGGGUUUGUUGUACGCGAGAAAUGAUUGAAAUUCGUCUUAAAAGUCCCAUUAGACAUGACAAAUGUUUGGUCAAACAAGCCCAACAAGACCAACACGUCGUGAAUCAUAGCAACCUUGGAUAAAUGUUGCAAAUUCUGCUUGAUUGUCUGGGGCUCUAAUGCUACUGAUCUGAUCGGCGUGACAAUUUGUAUGCGGGGAAGGUUCUUAUUUUAGUGUGAGAUAAUCCCCAUCUCUGGAAAAGAUAACUCUCAUACAAAUCAAUUUGGAAGGGACUUUUCCAUGUAGCUAUAUGUAAAAAAACACACUGUAUGCAGGCCAAGAGGCAGGCAUUACGUUAUUUGUCGAGCAAUCUAGUAUAGAAUACUAGAACAUUCAAUAAAUUGUUUUUAAUACAAAAAAGUUGAUUUGGGCGGUUUGAAAACCUGUUACACAAAAAAAUAUCAUGAAAUUUUUGUGAUAAUUUUAGACGCUCAUUUCGCUUGAUUUAAGUGGGCUAAGAGAUAGUCUUGCAAUAAAAAUUAAAUCACCUUUCAAUACUUCAAAAAUACGCUCAAAAUUGAAGGUGAUCCAUUUUGCCCCGCGGCCGUUCGAAUAGAGAUUAUAUAGACAAGUACAUGUGGCCAAACAUAAUUUUAUUUUUCAUGAUCAACGAGAGUGGAUAUUUUUUUGAUUAAAUGCACUUAACUUUUAUAUUGGUCACAUAACUAAAUUAUCUACAUAAAUAGUACGAAAUAGGUUCACCAUGUCCUCCUAAGUUGUGAGGUGACGCUUUACCUAAUUAUUUCUAAAUCUCAUAAAUACUUUACCUUAUAACUUUUUGCAUUGCAAGUACUCAAAUAAUAUUUAUUGCCCUAGCUGAGUAGGUUCACCUUUUUCUCCCUAGUUGCGAGGUGAUGCUUUACAUAACUUUCGCUAAAUAUCAUACCUAUUUUGCGUUACAAAUAUCUGCAAUUUCCUCAUGAAUUGUCGUAGCUGCGUAGUUUCGCCACAUUCUCCUAAGUUCUUCUCAAGUAUCUAUUGAAAUCUUAUAUUUUUUUUCCCUAUUGAACUAAUAAUUUGAGAAUUUGAAUCAAGAUUUAAAC